rnacentral:rRNA from 1 species
CUCGUAGGCGGCUUGUCGCGUCUGCUGUGAAAUCCUGGGGCUUAACUCUGGGUGUGCAGUGGGUACGGGCAGGCUAGAGUGCGGUAGGGGUGAUUGGAAUUCCUGGUGUAGCGGUGGAAUGCGCAGAUAUCAGGAGGAACACCGAUGGCGAAGGCAGGUCACUGGGCCGUUACUGACGCUGAGGAGCGAAAGCAUGGGGAGCGAACA